AUUGAACGCUGGCGGCAGGCCUAACACAUGCAAGUCGAGCGGAUGAAGGGAGCUUGCUCCUGGAUUCAGCGGCGGACGGGUGAGUAAUGCCUAGGAAUCUGCCUGGUAGUGGGGGAUAACGUCCGGAAACGGGCGCUAAUACCGCAUACGUCCUGAGGGAGAGAGUGGGGGAUCUUCGGACCUCACGCUAUCAGAUGAGCCUAGGUCGGAUUAGCUAGUUGGUGGGGUAAAGGCCUACCAAGGCGACGAUCCGUAACUGGUCUGAGAGGAUGAUCAGUCACACUGGAACUGAGACACGGUCCAGACUCCUACGGGAGGCAGCAGUGGGGAAUAUUGGACAAUGGGCGAAAGCCUGAUCCAGCCAUGCCGCGUGUGUGAAGAAGGUCUUCGGAUUGUAAAGCACUUUAAGUUGGGAGGAAGGGCAGUAAGUUAAUACCUUGCUGUUUUGACGUUACCAACAUAAUAAGCACCGGCUAACUACGUG
rnacentral:rRNA from 1 species